AUUUCUUUUUUUCAGCAAUAGGGCGUUUCUAACAUAUCCAUUCUUGAUUUUGUUUUCUUUUUCACCAGAGCAUCAAUUUUCUGUUAAUGGCUUCCACUUCAACAUCUGGUCGAGGACAACAGGAACGCGAUCCAUUUUGGGUGCUUGAACCUCCCAAAAAAAAGAUAAAAUCCUCCUUGACUGCAAAACAGUUUGAUGUAUUCAUCAACCAUCGAGGCCCGGACACCAAAACGAAGGUGGCUCGGCAGCUCUACGAUUCUCUACAGGAAGCUGGGAUCCGGGCAUAUCUAGAUGCUCCAGAGACUGAACUCGGAGAUUAUUUUCCUUCUGCCAUUAAGAAUGCCAUAUCCUCUGCCGCAGUGCACAUAGCCAUCUUAUCACCGCAAUAUGCAGAGUCUCCUUGGUGCUUAGCUGAGCUUGCUUUGAUGUUCCAAACCAAGGCUAGAAUUAUUCCCCUCUUCUACCAUGUUCAGCCAUCAGACUUCCGCUACAUCAAAAAUGGAGUUGCAGAAGCAUUUUCCAAACACGAAGAGAAGGGCAGAUUUCCUAGUCAUGACAUUCAACAGUGGAAAGAAUGCCUGCAGAAUGUUUCAUGUCUGGAAGGCUACGAACUCAACAAAGAAAAUGACGAUCCGAGCAAGCUGUGCGAUGAUGUUCUGUCCGCUGUAGUUAAGGAGAAGCAAAAGAGAAAAAUUCCAUUCCAAGUUGCACAAUAUGCUGUGGGACUUGACGAGCUUGUGAAAGAUUUCCAUAGCCAUUGUCAGAGAAAUGGGCAGAUGAGAGAUAAGAUAAUUGGCAUCUUUGGAAUGGGAGGAUCUGGCAAGACCACUCUCGCUAAAUAUUUGUUCAAUAGCAAACAUUCAGAAUUCAGUGGAUCAGCUAGUCUGUUUGAUGUGCGAGAAAACCAUGUCAAAGGUAGGCUGACUUCUUUGCAAAGUAAGCUUCUCAAUGAUCUGUUUCCUGGAAAUCAUUAUUCAUUUUCUAGUAUAGAAGAAGGAACAGCCUAUAUCAAGCAUGAGCUUCAAAGGAGCCACGAAUCAAGGUUCCUUAUAGUUAUAGAUGAUGUUGAUCAUCAAAAGCAAUUGGAUGCCCUGUUACCCAAGGAUACCCUCAAUCCCAAUAGUUUAGUGAUUGUCACAACCCGUGACGAGAGACUUCUUAUAAAGUUCGAAGUGACAGUCCGUUAUAAGAUGAAAGAGAUGAAUCCAGAGCAUAGCAAAGAACUCUUCUGCUGGCAUGCGUUCCAUACGCAAUCUUGUAAAAGGGGAUUUGAGAAUUUGGUAGAUAGCUUUGUCGAAGCGUGUGGAGGUUUACCUCUUGCUCUUCAAGUAAUGGGUGGGCAUGUUUUUGGAAGUGGCAUGGCUUAUUGGAAGUUGCAAUUAGAUGAGGCUAAGGCAAGACUAGACAAAGACAUAAGAGAUACGCUUAAAAUAAGCUAUGACGCUCUGGAAGAGGAUCAAAAACAGAUCUUUAUGGAUAUAGCUUGUGGUCGACAUUGAAGAUGAUUUUUAUAUGAGAUGUUUUCUGGGGAGUUCAAAGACAUCAACUGAUUUACAAGUGCUUCAACUUUCCUCUAUUUUUGGUCAUCGGCGUAUUCCUGAAUACCCGAUUCCUCUACAAAAUUUGCACACUUUAAGUCUUGAAAGAGUAUCACCUGUGAUAUUGUGGCAAAGGGAUGACCAGGUUCUACUCAAGUUGAAAGAGCUAUCUUGCAUCUUUGAUAGUAUCUUAGACUCCAGUCUUCAAAAUAUGUAUAUGAGCGAUUUCAAGAAACUGCUGAGUUCGUUUGGAAUGUUCAAAAAUCUGAGAAGUCUGCAAAUAGAAUGUGGACCUGAGUUCUUAAGAUGGGAAAGUAUUAUUGAAUGGAAUCGCUUGCAGAAAUCUAUAAGAGAACUCACCUAUCUGCAAACUUUAAGCUUGAAAUCCUUUAAGGUAGAAGGGGAAUUUGCUCUAAGCAACAGGGGAAAGACAACUGUUGAUCUGUUUCCUAUGAGAAAUCUUGAGGCCAUAAUUCUGUGCGGUGUAUUGAAAACAACGGUGGUCUCCAUUAGUGGACAGUUCUGUCCCAACCUUAAAUCUCUUCAGCUUUGUUGUAUGACAGAUCUGAUUGAAAUGGAUUUGAUAGGGAUAACCACACUGGAAUGUCUGACACUGUUGAAAUGUCAACAAUUGAGAAAAGUAUUGGGCAAUGAUCUGCUAAAACUUGAAUUAUUCCAAAUAAAAUUAUGUCCGACUAUGAGAGAGUUCCCAAAUUUUGGGGGUGUCAAUUGUCUCAAGAGGAUCUAUAUUAGCCAGUGUGAGAACCUGCAGGAUGUAUCAGCUUUUGGAAGAUUGGAAAGAUUGAAGAGGAUCUGGAUCGCUUAUUGUCCAGAGCUGAAGAGUAUAAAAGCUAUUGAACACUUGAAGGGAUUGAAGAGAAUCUGGAUUCAGGGCUGUACACAGUUGCAUGAUGUAGUUUGUUUUAAUGAAUUGAAGGAGUUGAAGAAACUCUUCAUUGGGAAAUGUACAAGGAUGCAGAAUAUGGAAGGCAUUGAACAUUUAUUACGCCUGGAGAGCACUAUCAUUGCUGAAUGUCCGAAGCUGACGAAUAUAAGAGGCGUUGAAGAAUUGGAAGGACUGAAGGAGAUGAUUAUUUCAGAUAGUCCUAUUAUAAGUUGUGUCGAAAGGUUGCAGAGAUUGCCAUCUGAGCAUAUAACUAUGGUGGGGAGAUCAGCUAUGUCAGAUUUUAUUUCAAAUGAGGGUGAUGAAGAUGAAGAUGAAGAAGGAUUUAGAUUUGGCUAUGUGAGGAGAUCGUCCAUAUCAUAUUUUACCGCAGAUAAAAUUGGGAACACAUUGUCUAUGGUGGAUGCUUUUUAUGAAAUAGAGCGUGAAGGAAAUAUAAAUAAUAUUUUGGACUGGUUUCAUAAAACCCAUCGCUCACUCAGUACAUUCAUCUUCUGCGCUUUGGUUUGGGAUUCUCCUCUGAUUGUGCGUCAGAGACCUCAUCAUCUAAGCCAUAUAAACCUGUUUAGCGGUGCUGCAGACUGGAUAUAUAUGUGCGUAGUUAAUGAAGAAAGGUUCUCAGAAUAUGACUCCUGGAUUCCAUCCUCUCCUUGUAUAUAGAAGGCGUUUAUAAUGGGAGUGAAGGCAGGCUUAUUUGCUAAACUAUGCAUUCACAACAGCUGAAUAUUCUGAAAAAGAUCUGUUGCGCUUUGGGCGUGUUGAUUGGUGUGAGAGAGUGACAGUGAUCUUGAUUGGUCUGAGAGAUUGGCUGCAGAGGAGCAUGCUCUUUCUGAUUUCGCCGACGAUGAAGAACACAUUGGUGGUGGUGAUGA